rnacentral:rRNA from 1 species
AAGGAGACUGCCAGUGAUAAACUGGAGGAAGGUGGGGAUGACGUCAAGUCAUCAUGGCCCUUACGACCAGGGCUACACACGUGCUACAAUGGCGCAUACAAAGAGAAGCGACCUCGCGAGAGCAAGCGGACCUCAUAAAGUGCGUCGUAGUCCGGAUUGGAGUCUGCAACUCGACUCCAUGAAGUCGGAAUCGCUAGUAAUCGUGGAUCAGAAUGCCACGGUGAAUACGUUCCCGGGCCUUGUACACACCGCCCGUCACACCAUGGGAGUGGGUUGCAAAAGAAGUAGGUAGCUUAACCUUCGGGAGGGCGCUUACCACUUUGUGAUUCAUGACUGGGGUGAAGUCGUAACAAGGUAACCGUAGGGGAACCUGCGGUUGGAUCACCUCCUUA